CCUUGGGGCGGGGUGAGAUUCCCCACCGGCGGUAAAGCCCGCCAGCCUGAAAAGCUCAGGCUGAUCCGGUGAGAUUCCGGAGCCGACGGUAUAGUCCGGAUGAAAAAGG
rnacentral:ncRNA from 1 species